rnacentral:rRNA from 1 species
GACGAACGCUGGCGGCGUGCUUAACACAUGCAAGUCGAACGGAAAGGCCCUGCUUUUGUGGGGUGCUCGAGUGGCGAACGGGUGAGUGACACGUGAGUAACCUGCCCUUGACUUUGGGAUAACUUCAGGAAACUGGGGCUAAUACCGGAUAGGAGCUCCUGCUGCAUGGUGGGGGUUGGAAAGUUUCGGCGGUUGGGGAUGGACUCGCGGCUUAUCAGCUUGUUGGUGGGGUAGUGGCUUACCAAGGCUUUGACGGGUAGCCGGCCUGAGAGGGUGACCGGCCACAUUGGGACUGAGAUACGGCCCAGACUCCUACGGGAGGCAGCAGUGGGGAAUAUUGCACAAUGGGCGGAAGCCUGAUGCAGCAACGCCGCGUGCGGGAUGACGGCCUUCGGGUUGUAAACCGCUUUCGCCUGUGACGAAGCGUGAGUGACGGUAAUGGGUAAAGAAGCACCGGCUAACUACGUGCCAGCAGCCGCGGUGAUACGUAGGGUGCGAGCGUUGUCCGGAUUUAUUGGGCGUAAAGGGCUCGUAGGUGGUUGAUCGCGUCGGAAGUGUAAUCUUGGGGCUUAACCCUGAGCGUGCUUUCGAUACGGGUUGACUUGAGGAAGGUAGGGGAGAAUGGAAUUCCUGGUGGAGCGGUGGAAUGCGCAGAUAUCAGGAGGAACACCAGUGGCGAAGGCGGUUCUCUGGGCCUUUCCUGACGCUGAGGAGCGAAAGCGUGGGGAGCGAACAGGCUUAGAUACCCUGGUAGUCCACGCUGUAAACGGUGGGUACUAGGUGUGGGGUCCAUUCCACGGGUUCCGUGCCGUAGCUAACGCUUUAAGUACCCCGCCUGGGGAGUACGGCCGCAAGGCUAAAACCCAAAGGAAUUGACGGGGCCCCGCACAAGCGGCGGAGCAUGCGGAUUAAUUCGAUGCAACGCGUAGAACCUUACCUGGGUUUGACAUGGAUCGGGAGUGCUCAGAGAUGGGUGUGCCUCUUUUGGGGUCGGUUCACAGGUGGUGCAUGGCUGUCGUCAGCUCGUGUCGUGAGAUGUUGGGUUAAGUCCCGCAACGAGCGCAACCCUUGUUCACUGUUGCCAGCACGUUAUGGUGGGGACUCAGUGGAGACCGCCGGGGUCAACUCGGAGGAAGGUGGGGAUGACGUCAAGUCAUCAUGCCCCUUAUGUUCAGGGCUUCACGCAUGCUACAAUGGCUGGUACAGAGAGUGGCGAGCCUGUGAGGGUGAGCGAAUCUCGGAAAGCCGGUCUCAGUUCGGAUUGGGGUCUGCAACUCGACCUCAUGAAGUCGGAGUCGCUAGUAAUCGCAGAUCAGCAACGCUGCGGUGAAUACGUUCCCGGG